ensembl:lncRNA
GGUUUCUAUCAGGAGAGGCACUCUGGAGUUAAGUGGUUAAGCUCUCGGACUGCAGGGUUUUUCAUCCAUAAGAAUUAGGAGCUCCCACGGUAGACGUUUGCUAAGCAGCACCAAUCAUUCUCGUUCUUAUUCAUGGUUUGCUGCGUGAAUUGUGUAGAAAGCAGAGGGUUUCCAAAACUCAUCCCCUUCAUCCUCAGUACUUGGGAACACAGGAAUGUUGGGCAACCACUAAAGAUACAAGAACAAAGCCACAAAUCCAGCAGGACGUGGUGGCGCUGGCUGAGGCAGGAGGCUUGCCAAGCUUGAGCCCCAAGGCAACAAAGAGAGACACUAACUCAGAAUAAAAAUUUUUAAAAGGC